AGUUGGGAAUCUUGGACAAUGGGGGAAACCCUGAUCCAGCCAUGCCGCGUGAGUGAUGAAGGCCUUCGGGUUGUAAAACUCUUUCGCGCACGACGAUAAUGACGGUAGUGCGAGAAGAAGCUCCGGCUAACUUCGUGCCAGCAGCCGCGGUAAUACGAAGGGGGCUAGCGUUGUUCGGAAUUACUGGGCGUAAAGCGCGCGCAGGCGGCUAUCCAAGUCAGUGGUGAAAGCCCGGGGCUCAACUCCGGAACUGCCAUUGAAACUGUUUAGCUUGAGUAUGAGAGAGGUGAGUGGAAUUCCCAGUGUAGAGGUGAAAUUCGUAGAUAUUGGGAAGAACACCGGUGGCGAAGGCGGCUCACUGGCUCAUUACUGACGCUCAGGCGCGACAGCGUGGGGAUCAAA
rnacentral:rRNA from 1 species